GAUCUCAGGUGGUUCGCCCGGGGAAGAUACGUUCCAAAGAGAGCCCCGGAACUGACUCGACGUGUCAACGAGCGUGGGCACGUCGUACGUCACAGGAACAGCCGGUGCGGCGGUGAAGCGGCGUGAAGAAUCUGCACGUACCACGCGGACCGGGAGAUGCCGACGAGGAUACCGAUUCGAGAGCAAGCCGCUUUCUUUGAAGGAAGCCGCGUGCCACCCUCCGACGAGCCGGGGAUCACGAGCCGAGCCGGCGCGCGAGGAACAGAACUGUCCGCCCUUUACUCCGGCUCGCUCUACCUCUGAAUCAUCCACGUCGCCCACGCAUCGCGAUGCCGGGGGCUCUGCGUAGGAUACGGUAAUUUGGAAAUACCCGAGUUCCCUCACCAUUGAUCGUUACGAGAGCAGGGAGCAUCGUAGUUCGAAGGGAUGAAAAUCGUCAGGUGUGGGUGGUUGGAACAUCGAUGAACGAAUAUCCCCACUACAAACUAUCCGGUGAGAGUAGCGUGGGAGUUUCCAAGGUCAUCGCAAGAGCAAAACGUAGUACGACGCCUCCGCCGGGACGCCCGCGCACGAAGCGUGGGCGUGAAUUGUACAUAUAUGUAUAAGCUAUGCACACAAGAUUUCAAAUCAUUGAUGGCACUUUAAUAUGCGUUUUACUGUUGUAUGUUCUUAAUUAUGUUAUUAAUUGAAGCAUAGCUGGAAUAAAGAUAUUUGUCGUGUAA